CAUGAAUAGCAGGAAUAUGUAUCAGCAGGCCUGAUGAAUCCAAACCAAACACUGCUACUCCAAGUGCAUCCUUUACUGCAGUGCUAGCACCUGGCCAGAAUGAGCUUGGGAAUUCUGGGUCUUCAGCUCUGGCAGGCAAACUUGUUUAUGUAGCUGUAAUAAUAGUGUUCUCCAGGUAAGGCAUUUCUGAGAGUUGCUCACUUUGAGAUGUGUAUCUGCAAGCAAAGAUUAAACUGUUAAAAACAAGCCUGCUGCUGCUGGAUCAGACACUGCAAUUACAGUAAUGUGGAAAUUACUUUCCUCUCCAUGCAGCAAGUGAAUGUGCAACUAAAACCUUGAUAACUGGUGCAGCUGUUUGGGAUGCCAUGGCUGAUCUCAGCUUUUUGCAGCAGCUAAAGCAAGUGCACAUGGUGACAAAUAACUUGAGGUGAGAAGGCAAUGCUAAUCUUCUCACACAAGUGGAAGAAAAAGUGUCAGCCAUUUACUAACCAACCAGCGGCCUGAGGACUGCACCUUUGGUUGAGGGCACUGCAGAAUGUAAGUUCCCAUGGUCAUCAGUGACCCUGAGAGCAGACAGCUACCAUAUAUUUCAGUUGUGCUAAUUUUUCAGGGACAUCUGUUUUUUUCUUUCUGGGCUUCAUCCUUUCCUGUGUACUGUUACUUAGCAUAUCAAUUGCUGACUAAUGGUCAGAGAGCAGUAUUCUUAAGUCUCAUUUCCCUAACUGACCUCUUUCUCUUCUAGGUUUAAAUAACUACAACUUCAAUCUUGUAGUGCCUGGAAAGCAUGCACAUGCAUGACCCUUAUAGACAAAUUCAUCCCUUUGUGAAACCCUUUGAGUUCAGAGGUUAAAUCAGGGAUUUAUUUGGCCUGUAAAUCUGCACAGAAAAAUGCUGUCAUUGAUCAUCCUGGUCAAAAGUCCAUUUUAAAUGUAAUGAAUCUCAAUUUUCCUUCUCCGUUCGCUUUUUUGGCAGUAUUCUACCACAGCCAUAACAAUGGAUUGCCUCAUGCAUUUCUCAUAAGAUGCUAAUUUGGAUUUAACUGAAUCUAACCUAUUUUGUAGAAGCUUGUUGUACAGUUGUUGAUAGUGUGCUGAAACACGAGGAGAAAAUGAUCAGCUAGCAUACAUUCUAUGAUCAGCCAAGAAUACUUAUUAACUCUAUCAGAUAAGCUGUGGAGCAUCUGUUUCUCAGGAGGGUCCCACCAGGCAUGUCUCACACUGAACAGGGAAUAACUCUUGAAUUAGGAGAAUCUCCUGCACACACAGAAUGAUUCUGAGCUUGCUUUAUAGUAAGAAUAGUUCAGAUGAUUUUAAACUGCUCUUGCCUUUUGGAACUUCCUAGAAACUAUGAAGUAUUCAUUAUUAGACCCAGUUCUAAGACAAUAAUACUGCAAGAAAAUGAAUCCAGAUGAUGUAAUAACUUGCUUCAAAUGUGAGUCUAACAUGCAGGUUUGUUUUGCUGAAGGCAUAGAAGAGAGUUUUACGGUGGCAAUCUUUGGUUCCACCUAAAGAUACAACCAUGCUGUAAACCAUGAAUUACAGAAGGUGGAGCUGCAGAGGUUCCCAUAGUCAGCAGCCAGCCUGAACACUGAAGUGAGGAGUAGGUAGAUAACACCUGCCCCUGCGUUGUUCAUUGACUUCAAAGGCUGAGUUGAGCUACAGUCCCUGUUACAGCUUUAACCCACUGGAGAUCACUGACUGUGGAUUUCAGACAGGUAUUUAUUUAGAUUGCACCCAUGGUUGAGUGAAAAAAGGAAACCACUUGGUCUGCAUUUCCUCUAACCUGCCCAGUGUUUAUUUUCAGUAUUCAUACUACUUUGACAAUUUUUCUUUGCAUGUUAGUUACUGUAGGUAGCUGACAAAUUACCCCCACAAUUCACACAGCCUGAUGUUUCCUCUGCAUGUCGCUGAGAUGGGAGCACUAUGUAAAAAGUAAACUGUUAGCUGGGAAAGUCUGAGAGUCUUGAUGCAUGUCGAUGGGGAGAGGAGAAUGUAAAAAGCUUAAGCUCUUGAUAAGAAGCAUGUUGGAGUGCAUAAUAUGUUAGAGAGACAUGGUACAUGUCAGAAACACCUGGAUCUGAGGCAAGUCAAAACUCAGUGAAUCUGUUACUUAUUAUUGUCUCGAUGAUUGCAGAGGAAAAGGAACAGCCCAAACAGUUGUGCCUUUUUCCCGUAUCUCAUAAAGUGUGCAAACACCAGAACUAGAAGAAGCAACUCCUAUUUUCAACACUAUUGCUUCAGUGGGAGUGCUAAUAACAUGUUAUGAACUACAAGCGAAAGCAGAAGCGAAUUCCAUCUGAUUUCAUAUGGAGGAUGCAGCUCUAGUAAAACUGCUUGCCCAAAAGAAUAAAUGGACUUUGUAAAAAUAUGACUGCUUCAUAGAACUGCCCUUGGCAGCUGCACAGAAGCAAAUAAGGUGAGAUAGAGCAGUAGGUCCAGGAAUAAAUCUGCACCUUGUGAGGCAAGGUUCAACAGCAGCCUAGUGAAGCCCUUGCAGCUUAAGGACCCCAAAGCCUGCUGCUUCCUGCUCUGCAGGCAAGGAGUUGGGCAUGGCUUUUGCGGGAGACCUGUUUCCUGUUGUGUAUUCACAAGCCACCAAACAAAAACUUGUGUUUGGGAGCUUUGCUUGCACUGCUGCAAACCGAUGUGUGCCAGAGUUCACAGCAGAGAAAAUAUCUUUCUUUGGGUCAGAGCCGCCACUUUAACAGAACUACUAAAUGUUUCUGUGCUGCAGAGGACAUUGCUGAAGAAGGGACCUUUAGAAACUGUGGGAUGUGAGAAAUCCAUUACUUUUCUGGGAAGAAGUGCAAUCCUGUCAAGGGGAGCAUAGUAGGAGUUUGGUAAACAGCUUUACAGAAAAGCCAUCGAACCGGAAUGAAUGAGAGUCCUAAAUCUGAAUCAGACCAGCUCAACCGGAAGGGUAAGGGGAUGGACAAAGAUGGAGGAGUGAAAAGAGAUGAUCUUCCCCUCCCAGUUCAGAAAGAAAAAGAUCUGGUGAGAUUUUUCAGCUGCUCUCAAGUAACUUUCUGCUCUUUGGUUCGCUGUUACUGUUCUCCUGAUUUCCAGACCUACUCUUCUUACAAUAACUUAGAUCUGUCAAUAGUAAUGGAGAAACAAUGAUCUUUUAUGGUCUGCAUUGCAAGCCCUUUUGUUUCACAUUGUGUAACAUAAAGUUCUGACUUUCCUGGGCUCGAUUUUUGUUUUAGUGCACAAUCCACAUCAAUGUCCAAAUUGUAACUAGGUAGGAAUGGUUCUUUAAUGCCUCCAAAUCACCACCAGAGUUAGUAUGAGUCAGUGUGAUGGGCAGUCUGCUUAGCUCUGAGUGCUAUGACACCUUAACUGCCAUCACUAUAAUCUAUUCCUCAUCUGGGAGAUAACACAAGCCCUGUGUAGGGUCAUCUGCUGCUUCCUCUCUUCCUUGUUUCAGGAAGAUCAGUGUUUUAAAUUUCUUUUUAAAGUGUUUUCUCUCUAUUCCAUGUUUCUCUGGGAUGGUUAUAGUUAAGGCUAAAUAUGGCUGUUGAUUUAUGAGAGCACACCAUUGAUUUAAACAUUUUUGCCAGUAAUAGACUCAACAAGUUACUACCUACUCUGUUCUCUGGCAUGAUUUUACAUGUGUUAUUCUUCCUUCUUGGCCAUAGCUUCUCUAGCUAAUUGCAUAAAAGGCCUUGUCAAGAAAAAUAAAACAUUGUUCUUUGGAGGAAAAAGCACAUUUAACUCUUUUCAAGGUAAGAAAGGAUGUGGGCUGUGUGCAGAAGAAAAAGCAUGAAUGCUGACUGUACAGUCUAGGCAGAGGGACAGCAGAGUGUUCUGUGCAGAAAAGGAACAGAACCAAAGGGCGAGGGGGACCCUCUAAAGAAAUAAAUGCCUCAUUGUGUUGUAA